rnacentral:rRNA from 1 species
GACGAACGCUGGCGGCGUGCCUAAUACAUGCAAGUCGAACGCAGUGGGGACGGGGGAGUAACACGUGGGUAACCUCCCAUCAGAGGGGAUAACACUUGGAAACAGGUGCUAAACCGAUACUGAUGGAUGGACCCGCGGUGCAUUCGCUAGUUGGUGAGGUAACGGCUCACCAAGGCCACGAUGCCUAGCCGAGCUGAGAGGGGGAUGGGCCACACUGUGACUGAGAAACGGCCCAGACUCCUACGGUAGGCAGCAGUAGGGAAACGUCCGCAAUGGACGAAAGUCUGACCGAGCAACGCAGCGUGAGUGAAGAAGGUUUUCGGAUCGUAAAGCUCUGUUGUUAGAGAAGCGGUAUCUAACCAGAUAGCCACGGCUAACUACGUGCCAGCAGCCGCGGUAAUUC